CUGGGAUAACCACGAGAAAUCGGGGCUAAUACCGGAUGGGUCAUCGGACCGCAUGGUCCGAGGAUGAAAGGCGCUUCGGCGUCGCCUGGGGAUGGCUUUGCGGUGCAUUAGCUAGUUGGUGGGGUAAUGGCCCACCAAGGCGACGAUGCAUAGCCGACCUGAGAGGGUGAUCGGCCACACUGGGACUGAGACACGGCCCAGACUCCUACGGGAGGCAGCAGUAGGGAAUCUUCCACAAUGGACGAAAGUCUGAUGGAGCAACGCCGCGUGAACGAUGAAGGCCUUCGGGUCGUAAAGUUCUGUUGUAAGGGAAGAACAAGUGCCGCAGGCAAUGGCGGCACCUUGACGGUACCUUGCGAGAAAGCCACGGCUAACUACGUGCCAGCAGCCGCGGUAAUACGUAGGUGGCAAGCGUUGUCCGGAAUUAUUGGGCGUAAAGCGCGCGCAGGCGGCCUCUUAAGUCUGAUGUGAAAGCCCCCGGCUCAACCGGGGAGGGCCAUUGGAAACUGGGAGGCUUGAGUAUAGGAGAGAAGAGUGGAAUUCCACGUGUAGCGGUGAAAUGCGUAGAGAUGUGGAGGAAC
rnacentral:rRNA from 1 species